GCUAGCGUAGCUUACAGAAAGCGUAACUCUGAAGAUGU
rnacentral:tRNA from 1 species